GCCUGGCUGGCUCAGUCAGUUAAGCGUCCGACUUCAGCUCAGGUCACCAUCUCACGGUUUGUGGGUUCGAGCCCCGUGUUGGGCU
rnacentral:tRNA from 1 species